AAGCACCGGCUAACUACGUGCCAGCAGCCGCGGUAAUACGUAGGGUGCGAGCGUUAAUCGGAAUUACUGGGCGUAAAGCGAGCGCAGACGGUUACUUAAGCAGGAUGUGAAAUCCCCGGGCUCAACCUGGGAACUGCGUUCUGAACUGGGUGACUAGAGUGUGUCAGAGGGAGGUAGAAUUCCACGUGUAGCAGUGAAAUGCGUAGAGAUGUGGAGGAAUACCGAUGGCGAAGGCAGCCUCCUGGGAUAACACUGACGUUCAUGCUCGAAAGCGUGGGUAGCAAACAGGAUUAGAUACCCUGGUAGUCCACGCCCUAAACGAUGUCAAUUAGCUGUUGGGCAACUUGAUUGCUUAGUAGCGUAGCUAACGCGUGAAAUUGACCGCCUGGGGAGUACGGUCGCAAGAUUAAAACUCAAAGGAAUUGACGGGGACCCGCACAAGCGGUGGAGCAUGUGGUUUAAUUCGAAGCAACGCGAAGAACCUUACCAAGUCUUGACAUCCUUUGACCACUCUAGAGAUAGAGCUUUCCCUUCGGGGACAAAGUGACAGGUGGUGCAUGGUUGUCGUCAGCUCGUGUCGUGAGAUGUUGGGUUAAGUCCCGCAACGAGCGCAACCCUUGUCAUUAGUUGCCAUCAUUAAGUUGGGCACUCUAAUGAGACUGCCGGUGACAAGCCGGAGGAAGGUGGGGAUGACGUCAAGUCCUCAUGGCCCUUAUGACCAGGGCUUCACACGUCAUACAAUGGUCGGUACAGAGGGUAGCCAAGCCGCGAGGUGGAGCCAAUCUCACAAAACCGAUCGUAGUCCGGAUUGCACUCUGCAACUCGAGUGCAUGAAGUCGGAAUCGCUAGUAAUCGCAGGUCAGCAUACUGCGGUGAAUACGUUCCCGGGUCUUGUACACACCGCCCGUCACACCAUGGGAGUGGGGGAUACCAGAAGUAGGUAGGGUAACCGCAAGGAGCCCGCUUACCACGGUAUGCUUCAUGACUGGGGUGAAGUCGUAACAAGGUAGCCGUAGGGGAACCUGCGGCUG
rnacentral:rRNA from 1 species